CCUACGGGAGGCAGCAGUGGGGAAUAUUGCACAAUGGGGGAAACCCUGAUGCAGCGACGCCGCGUGAGUGAAGAAGUAUUUCGGUAUGUAAAGCUCUAUCAGCAGGGAAGAAAAUGACGGUACCUGAUUAAGAAGCCCCGGCUAACUACGUGCCAGCAGCCGCGGUAAUACGUAGGGGGCAAGCGUUAUCCGGAUGUACUGGGUGUAAAGGGAGCGUAGACGGGAGUACAAGUCUGGAGUGAAAUGCCGGGGCUUAACCCCGGGACUGCUUUGGAAACUGUGCAGCUAGAGUGGAGGAGAGGUAAGUGGAAUGCCUAGUGUAGCGGUGAAAUGCGUAGAUAUUAGGAGGAACACCAGUGGCGAAGGCGGCUUACUGGACUGUAACUGACGUUGAGGCUCGAAAGCGUGGGGAGCAAACAGGAUUAGAUACCCCAGUAGUC
rnacentral:rRNA from 1 species